rnacentral:rRNA from 1 species
CCUACGGGUGGCAGCAGUGAGGAAUAUUGGUCAAUGGACGAGAGUCUGAUCCAGCCACGCAGCGUGAAGGAAGACUGCCUUCUGGGCGUAAAACUCUAUUUAUAUGGGAAAAAAAUCUUGCAAGUGACGGAUUGCGUAUGUACGAUAUGAAUACGGAUCGGCUAACUUCGGGCCAGCCGCCGCGGUAAUACGGUGGAUGCGAGCGUUAUCCGGAUUUAUUGGGUUUAAAGGGAGCGUAGGAGGGUUGUUAAGUCAGUUGUGAAAGUUUGCGGCUCAACCGGAGAAGUGCAGUUGAAACUGGCAGACUUGAGUGCAGAAGAGGUGAGCGGAAUUCGAGGUGUAGCGGUGAAAUGCGUAGAUAUCAGGAAGAACUCCAGUGGCGAAGGCGGCUCACUGGUCUGCAACUGACGCUGAGGCUCGAAAGUGUGGGUAGCAAACAGGAUUAGAUACCCGAGUAGUC